GCCCGUGUGGCGCAAUUGGUUAGCGCGUCAGACUUUUAAUCUGAAUGUUGCGAGUUCGAGUCUCGCCAUGGGCG
rfam:Podospora anserina genomic DNA, chromosome 6.